GUGUGAUGUGGUUACGUACGUAAUGAUUAGUGAUGAUUAUAUACGGAUAUAUAUUUUUAAACAUCUAUUGUUGAUUUGGAUCUUAUAUUUUGCAAUGCCAUACAUCUGCUGCGCAUCGAGGUGCUUCAAUAAAUCCGGUGAAGGAUAUGCAUUAGUGCGAUUCCCUAAGAAGACCAAUAUCAAAAAGCAUGGUCAGAUGCUGUUUGGGGCGAGAAUGCGUCAAAACGUUCUCUGGAAAAUCUUAGAUUGUGUGAAGUACACUUUGAGCCAUCCGAUUUUUUGGUAGUGGGUCGCCGGAAAGAAAUAAAAAAAGAUGCAAUACCAUCACGCUUCUGUCUUUGUUCUUCUGACAAUUUUACAACAAAUCGCAAGCAAAGAAGCGAAAGAAAUAAGUUUCCUCUU